UACGGAGGGUGCAAGCGUUAUCCGGAUUCACUGGGUUUAAAGGGUGUGUAGGCGGGUAAGUAAGUCAGUGGUGAAAUCUCCAGGCUCAACCUGGAAACUGCCAUUGAUACUAUUUAUCUUGAAUAUCGUUGAGGUAGGCGGAAUAUGUCAUGUAGCGGUGAAAUGCUUAGAUAUGACAUAGAACACCGAUUGCGAAGGCAGCUUACUAAACGAUUAUUGACGCUGAGGCACGAAAAGCGUGGGGGAUCAAACAGG
rnacentral:rRNA from 1 species